GACGAACGCUGGCGGCGUGCUUAACACAUGCAAGUCGAACGGAAAGGCCCUGCUUUUGUGGGGUGCUCGAGUGGCGAACGGGUGAGUAACACGUGAGUAACCUGCCCUUGACUUUGGGAUAACUUCAGGAAACUGGGGCUAAUACCGGAUAGGAGCUCCUGCUGCAUGGUGGGGGUUGGAAAGUUUCGGCGGUUGGGGAUGGACUCGCGGCUUAUCAGCUUGUUGGUGGGGUAGUGGCUUACCAAGGCUUUGACGGGUAGCCGGCCUGAGAGGGUGACCGGCCAAAAUGGGACUGAGAUAAGGCCCAGACUCCUUCGGGAGGCAGGAGUUGGGAAUAUUGCACAAUGGGCGGAAGCCUGAUGCAGCAACGCCGCGUGCGGGAUGACGGCCUUCGGGUUGUAAACCGCUUUCGCCUGUGACGAAGCGUGAGUGACGGUAAUGGGUAAAGAAGCACCGGCUAACUACGUG
rnacentral:rRNA from 1 species